CCCGUUGAGUAAUAUAGCCUAGGGGAAAGAAAUGAGAGAAACUUCAAAAUCAACAAUUUUACAAGGCAAAUAAGAAAACAAAACUGCAAAUAUUUACUUGUGUGUACAAAAUUUAUUCUACUCUUGUGGUAAGCAUGCCCAGAUUAUAUGAUCUUUGAAGACUGGAAAUGUAUUUUUCUUCUUUUGUAUUUCUCAUUCAAUAGGUUAAUAAACACUUGGUUGUUGAUUAACAUGUCAAAUUAUUUGGAAAGGGACUUGAGCCAUGAUAUCUUCGAUAUCAAAACUUUCUUCAAACCAGAAAGAUAUAUUUGAUCUCUCUCAGUGUUUCUCAACGUGUAGUCUGCAGACCACCAACUGGUGAAUCAUUGGGCUGAGGCCACAUGCUUUUUCAAAAUCCUUACUAAAAAUGCAGAUUUAUGACUCUAAAGACCUUCUGAAUCAGAAACUCAGAGGGUUAAUCUUGGAAAUCUGCAUUUUAAUAAGGUACCUGGUGGAUUUUAUGUGCACUAAGCAUUGAAUACUUCUGUUUCUGGAUUCAUUGGCUUCUAUGCAAUUUUGCUCUAAAAACAAAGCUACUAGAUGAUGCUUCUAGUGACACUUCAGACAAUCAUGGGGACCAGACUGAAUCUCAGCUUCUCUGUUUACUAUUAAAUACUUGCAUGACCCUGGUCAAGCUAUUUAACUUGUCCAUGUUUUAGUUUUCUCUUCUGUAAACUGUAGGUCAUAAAGACACCUGCCACAUAGAGGUGUUUGAGUGUUAAACACAAUACCUGCAAAGUUCUUAGAAGAGCACCUGACACACAGGAAGUCCUCAAUAAAAGAGUCUCACUCUAUCAUCCAGGCUGGAGCACAGUGGUGCGACUAUAGCUCACCGCAGUCUUGAACUCCUGGGCUCAAGCCAUCCUCCCACCUCAGCCUCCUGAGUAGCUGGGACUACAGCAUUAUUCUACUGGCUUCCUUUCUUUCUCAAGUGUCCUCCUUCUGAAUGCCAGCUUAUCUGCAAAGAUGAAGAGUUCCUAAAGAAAAGGGAAGAAGAAAUAUCAAAAGAAAAUACAUUCAAAAUUCUUAGGAGACAAAGGGGAAGAAAAAAGCAGGGAGAUGAGAGUGAUGAAUCAUAUGCCUUAAAGAAGAAAGGCCUCAACAGAUGCAAAAGUCUUGCAUUUUUUCCCCAAUAAUUUGAAUGCAGACCUCCUGGGAAAUAAGCACAGCACAAACAUGUGUCUUUAAAUGCCAGUAAAUAACAUAAAAUCUU